ensembl:lncRNA
CAGUCUGAAACGCGAUCCGGAUUCGCCUUUGGAAUGUUUAGAUUUCGCCUUGCACUUGGACAUUGCUUGGAGCUCUACUGGACAGACAACAGUAAAUAAGACUCACAAGACAAAAUGACAUGCACACACAGAGCGCUUGCUGAAGACGCGAAGCUGAUGCCAGCUGCGCGGCAUGUGCUUUUAUAGCUUCCUGGUCGCUUACGUCACCCCGCCCGUGACGUCACGCUCUUCCAUUGGACUGAUUUCACACGAUAUUCAGAGUCGCUCACGCUAGACGCGUUCCCCAAAGCGCUCGACGCAGCUCGAGUUCCUGAAGAGGAACUUAAAUUACACUUUCAGUUUUGGUCAUACAGAUAAGAGCAAUACAUCAAUCGAAUCUGUAAAUGGUCUACUAUUAUACACUGCAUUCUUUUACUCACUGUUUCUUGCAUUAAAUGGCAGAGUUGUGUCUACCGUUGAGUGCAGGUGAGGACGCGUUUGAGCUGCACUCGGUGCAUCUCGAGCUGGAGGCCAAGGGGAAGCAGAUCCGAAGCAGGCCCAGUCGAGGGAGCGGAGAGCCGCGCUGGAAACAUCCCAGGCUGAUGCUCACAAGUCCGGGGGAUCCCGACAGAAAGAUAUGAAACUGUGUAUGAGAAAAUGUAGAUUGAGGGCCAGCUGCCCAGCCAGAUGCCGGUGGGAGUCGUGCCGGCAUUCCCAGCCCUGAGCUCUGCGUAGAAACAGUCCAAUCCCACAGACACGUGUGCUUAAAUCAUGCAAACAUCUUUUGGAUCUGUGAACCAAAACACAAGCCCGCAAUGAGCCUGGUGAGAUGAAACAAGCUCUCGUGGAAUGUCAUACGAGGCCUGAUUUGCUGUUGCAAUUAAGUUUUAUCAUUCUGAAAAUUCACGUUUUACAAGAUGAAUUGACUUUUGCAGCAUAAAAAUCUUGAAAAUCCUCAUAAAAGGAGAUACAAUGAGAUGACCAGAGGGGCUUUUGGGAAGCACUUCACAGGGAGAUGAGAAGAGAGGGGGAGAGGCAUGCUGAGAGACAGACUGAGAGAGAGAUGGAGAGAUAGCAAGACAGAGGAAGAGCAGAACACAAGGGAUCUUCUGAGGAAGAGAGAGAGAAACAGAGAAAAGGAU